AGGGGUAUCGCCAAGUUGGUAAGGCACGGGUUUCUGAAUCCCGCAUGCGUUGGUUCGAGUCCAGCUACCCCUGCCA
rnacentral:tRNA from 6 species